AUGAAGAAUACACGAAAAGGCAGACAUCACAUACUGUCUUUAUACGUUAUCUGAGUUAUGGGAAACCUAGAAAUAAAGCCGCAUGGCAUCAUCAUCAUGGUUUAUGAUUAUGAUCACCUGUUUUUCACCGCCUGUGCAGCUUAGUGCUGCCGUGGGCCACCGUUGGUGAGCUGGCCUAGCGAACUCCUGAGACGGUCCGAGAAGGCGGCCCACGUCUGUCUCGGAACAACUGACCUCCUCGUCACUUUCCCCUCUGUUACUGCCAUUCUGUGUCCCGCUGCACAGCACAUCUGAGGUUUUUGCACGAACCACUUGUCCCAUACAGGGUCGCGGAGCCAA